rnacentral:rRNA from 1 species
GAUCAUGGCUCAGGACGAACGCUGGCGGCGUGCCUAAUACAUGCAAGUAGAACGCUGAAGGAGGAGCUUGCUUCUCCGGAUGAGUUGCGAACGGGUGAGUAACGCGUAGGUAACCCGCCUGGUAGUGGGGGAUAACUAUUGGAAACGAUAGCUAAUACCGCAUAAUAGCAGUUGUUGCAUGACAACUGUUUGAAAGGUGCAAUUGCACCACUACCAGAUGGACCUGCGUUGUAUUAG